rnacentral:rRNA from 1 species
CGCAAGCCUGACGGAGCAACGUCGCGUGUGGGAAGAAGGCUCUUGGGCUGUCAACCACUUUUCUCAGGGAAGAAGCCCUGACGGUACCUGAGGGAUCAGCCUCGGCUAACUCCGUGCCAGCAGCCGCGGUAAUACGGAGGAGGCAAGCGUUAUCCGGAAUUAUUGGGCGUAAAGCGUCCGCAGGGGGCACAUCAAGUCUGCUGUUAAAGGCUGGAGCUUAACUCCGGUAGAGCAGUGGAAACUGGUGUGCUAGAGGGCGACAGGGGUAGAGGGAAUUCCCAGUGUAGCGGUGAAAUGCGUAGAGAUUGGGAAGAACACCGGUGGCGAAAGCGCUCUACUGGGUCGCACCUGACCCUCAGGGACGAAAGCUAAGGUAGCG